CAUAAAGUUCACAAAAGGUAGAAUUAGUAGUGCACACGUGCACAUAUUUAGCUGAACUUGUUGAGUUCAGUUUGGGCUCCCUGACAUGGGAUCAACAGCUCAUACAGUCAACCUCCCAUCAUUCAAAAAUAAACUCCCCUUUCACAAGGGUGGAAGAGUGUCAAUCUUAACAAACCAAAUGUUGUAUAUAUAUUUUUAAUGCUAGGAAGAAAGCCUGCCCAGGCCCAGCUCCAGUAAAUAGGAUUUUGCUUGCCAAUACUUGGAUGACUGACCAGUGGGUCAGGGAUGAUAGGCUGUGACCUCUAGAAGUUAAUAUGUUACACAACAGUAAUAUAAAAUGAUGUUAAGCUUGAAAAUGCUAGAAUUAGUGCUGUUUCCAGGGUGUUCCAAGUCCUGUGUCUUAGCUGCAUUUCACCAUACUUGUGUUUUGCCACACUUCCACAAGUGCUUGAAGUUGUUGCUGCAGCACUUUCCAACUCCACCCCAAACCAAAUAAUGAACACUUCUCUGCUGCUUCUGGUUGUUUUGUUUGUUUGGCGGGGUUGGUUGUUGUUGGGGUUUUUUGUUUGGUUGGUUGGUUGGUUGGUUUGGGUGGCUUUUUGUUCGUUUUUCCUACAAGACUGCAAUAAGUGUGCUUGGUUAUAGCAGGAGGCAGUGGGCAAACCUCUUGCCCCACUUCACAACACACGGAAACAAAUAAAGCUGCUCUGUAUAUGCAGGGGGAGAAAAGACAGAAUGGAGUAGCAGCAAGAAAAAAAAAAAGAGGGAAUAGUGUUGCUGGGGACAGACAAGAUAGGACAGCGAGACUAUGUCUUUUAUAAAUGGUGCCAAUUUAGAUUAGCUUGAAGUGACUAUGAAACUGUAGCCUAAAUUAAGUUUCAUCCUGUGUGCCCAGCAUUAUUCAUAAUUACUUAGAGCCAAGGAGUCUGUUGGAGCCUGGGAUGGCAUUUAAUUACUUUAAUGCAACAUUGCCCUUUUUUCUCCCUGGAAUCUCAUUGUUUGCUUCCAUUUCCAGCUAAUGAGAUAGACUACACAGUCAGCAUAUCUACAGACUAGCCUCCAUCGUACAUACAAGUGGUAGCAGGGAUCCUCUGGAGAUGAAAUGCAUUUAGCAGAAACACUACUCAUGUUGUUCAGAUGCAGCCCUCCUGCCAAGAUGUGACUGGCAGUAGCAGGGUCUGAGUACAAAUCUAUGAAAGAUGCCCCUACAGCAGUGACUUGAGGCUACACCUGGGCAACUGGGAAAAUUACACUGAAUUAAAUAAUUUUUCUCACUGGCUAACACAAAUCAAAUGCCUAACAGAUUUUUUUCUUUGUUGUUUGCUGAGGUGUUUUUCUGGUUUUCUAUGAGGAAAAACCAACCAACAAACAAAAAAAAACCACAAGAAUUUGACCAGCUGUCCAGUGACACUGUGGUGAAGCAGCUGUAUACAUCACCUCAGCCCAACUUCUCCUGGAUCUGUACAAUUGGACAUCUUUGGAAGACCUCUGUUCUUCUUCUGCCAUACCCAGCUAAUCUGUACCUUCUGGAAAGAAAGAUAAGCAGCAGGAUUGGUCUCAAGAUGCAUGGAAGGAUGUUUACACAGAAGGCUAAUUGAAUUUCCCCUUCUGCUAGUCCUGCUGAGCAGAGUGAUCCAAAAGCUCUACUUCUCUUCCAAGAAAAUGGAGCGGAUGUUUCUAAGCAUAGCACAACAUCUUUUCAUUACAGAAAGUAGUAACGUUGGAGGGAGUGUUAGCGGCACUGAUAUUUGGGAGGCUGUGAGUCUUUUCUGAAAUGCUGUUCUGACAAUUUCAGACAUUUCUUGGCUCAAUAAACAAAGAACAAAAUCCUUGCAGCAAGUAAUGGCUGUAGCUGGGUCACGUUGACCAGCAUGUUAAGCAGGAUUACCCACCUCAGCACAAGGAAGACACAUUUACACCAAGUAGCUAAAGCAGUUUAGUUCACAAGCUGGUAAAGAUAGCCCAGAUGUUUUCUUAAUCAUAUAAUAUGAUAUGCUCUUAAAGAAUAAUUUAAUAUUUUCCCUAGAUAAUUGCAUCGUCUUCCCCUAUGUUGUUCUCAGAUGAGUAUGAGUGAUGCAACUCCUUGAUUUUGGGAAGCAUCUUAUAUUAGCAUCUUUCCUAAGUAAACUCUGACCACAGCUAAGCCCAAGAACAUGAGGUCUAAGUCACUCGCUGAGGCCAAUAUUCUGUGCUUUAAACAUCCUUUCAUUAAGGCUAGUUUACCUACAGACUAUAGCUGGGGUUUCAAAUCCUAAAAAAGUUCCCCUAACAGGAAUGGUAGAAAACAGAAGACAUAGAAGGUUACUCGUCCAAAAUAUACAGAAUGAAAUGUUGGGGAAAAGCAACAAACCAUAACAUUAUUGGGGAAAAGAGAAGAACAUUGAUUACAUGCUUAUUCAUCCAAUAUCCAACCUUUAAAAUAAAACCUUUAAAAUAAAAUCCCCAAAGAGUGAACCACUCAUAGAUUCAAGACUGUGUCAGUACACUGUAGAGACAUACCAGGCUCAGUCUGAGUUAUGCCAGUGUCUGCUAUGUCCACUUUUAGCCACAUUUAAUAUAACCCACUUUUAAUUUCCUGAUGGCAGAGUUCACAGAAAUUCCUUCUGCUCUAUUAACAUCACAGUUUUAAACUGCUUUCUUCCCCAGUGUGUAUCACAUCCCACGCUCUGUAUGCAUGCUCUGAAAUACUCUCAAAAGCAAAAGGACACCCUCCUUCCUUAUCUCCACUGUGUGUGAUGGUGCUCAAUCUUUUUGUGGUAAUUACCAAAUGAUAACUCACUAGAAAUAUAAAUUAUCUCAGCUGUAGCUCCAUAGUAUUUAAAACAACAUCGCUAUCCAUAUCCACGUGCUCUUUUAGAUGGCUUCUUGGUCAUAUUUUCACUUUAUUAGUACCUUUUUUUGGUUCUUUCUGUCUUAUUUGGGGUUCUCAAAUGACAUCACAGGCUUGUUACGCUAUGUCUCUAAAACCACAAAAGAAAAUAAAAUUUCUGUUCCUAAGUUCCUUGAAACUUUUCUGAGACUUACUAUGUCAUUAUAGACAGAGCCAAGCACAAUAUCCUACUCAUAAGGACAGAUCUCUCAUAAAGACUGGAAAGAGUUAAAAUUCCCCUCUU
ensembl:lncRNA